rnacentral:rRNA from 1 species
AUUGAACGCUGGCGGCAGGCCUAACACAUGCAAGUCGAGCGGCAGCGGAAAGUAGCUUGCUACUUUGCCGGCGAGCGGCGGACGGGUGAGUAAUGUCUGGGAAACUGCCUGAUGGAGGGGGAUAACUACUGGAAACGGUAGCUAAUACCGCAUAACGUCGCAAAACCAAAGAGGGGGACCUUCGGGCCUCUGGCCAUCAGACGUGCCCAGAUGGGAUUAGCUAGUAGGUGGGGUAACGGCUCACCUAGGCGACGAUCCCUAGCUGGUCUGAGAGGAUGACCAGCCACACUGAAACUGAGACACGGUCCAGACUCCUACGGGAGGCAGCAGUGGGGAAUAUUGCACAAUGGGCGCAAGCCUGAUGCAGCCAUGCCGCGUGUAUGAAGAAGGCCUUCGGGUUGUAAAGUACUUUCAGCGGGGAGGAAGGUGUUGAGGUUAAUAACCUCAGCAAUUGACGUUACCCGCAGAAGAAGCACCGGCUAACUCCGUGCCAGCCGCCGCCGUAACAC